rnacentral:rRNA from 1 species
AACGAACGCUGGCGGCAUGCCUAACACAUGCAAGUCGAACGAAGCCUUCGGGCUUAGUGGCGCACGGGUGCGUAACGCGUGGGAAUCUGCCCUUUGGUUCGGAAUAACAGUUGGAAACGACUGCUAAUACCGGAUGAUGACGAAAGUCCAAAGAUUUAUCGCCAGAGGAUGAGCCCGCGUAGGAUUAGCUAGUUGGUGUGGUAAAGGCGCACCAAGGCGACGAUCCUUAGCUGGUCCGAGAGGAUGAUCAGCCACACUGGGACUGAGACACGGCCCAGACUCCUACGGGAGGCAGCAGUGGGGAAUAUUGGACAAUGGGCGAAAGCCUGAUCCAGCAAUGCCGCGUGAGUGAUGAAGGCCCUAGGGUUGUAAAGCUCUUUUACCCGGGAUGAUAACGACAGUACCGGGAGAAUAAGCCCCGGCUAACUCCGUGCCAGCCGCCGCAGUAA